GGGCUGGGGCUCAGAGGUAGAGCACUGGCCUAGCAUGUGUGAGCCACUGGGUUCGAGUCUCAGCACCCCG
rnacentral:tRNA from 1 species